UACGGGGGGGGCAAGCGUUGUUCGGAAUUACUGGGCGUAAAGGGCUCGUAGGCGGCCAACUAAGUCGGAUGUGAAAUCCCCAGGCUUAACCUGGGAACUGCAUCCGAUACUGGAUGGCUUGAAUCCGGGAGAGGGAUGCAGAAUUCCAGGUGUAGCGGUGAAAUGACGUAGAUAUCUGGAGGAAUACCCGGUGGCGAAGGCGGCAUCCUGGACCGGCAUUGACGCUGAGUGAGCGAAAGCCAGGGGAGCAAACGGG
rnacentral:rRNA from 1 species